rnacentral:rRNA from 1 species
CACGUAGGGGGCAAGCGUUGUCCGGAUUUAUUGGGCGUAAAGAGCUCGUAGGCGGCUUAGUAAGUCGGGUGUGAAACCUCCAGGCUCAACCUGGAGACGCCACCCGAUACUGCUGUGGCUAGAGUCCGGUAGGGGAGCGUGGAAUUCCUGGUGUAGCGGUGAAAUGCGCAGAUAUCAGGAGGAACACCAGCGGCGAAGGCGGCGCUCUGGGCCGGUACUGACACUGAGGAGCGAAAGCGUGGGUAGCAAACAGG